rnacentral:lncRNA from 1 species
CUCUGGGCUAUCGGGCUAUUUUCGUUGACCGGAAGUCGCAUACUUCGUCUGUUACGAUCGCUAGGGAAACCGAAUGCAGGAGAAAAGAUGCGGUUUUAGCCCUGGGGGACAAGCUUCGCUGUUAGCAUGGAAAACAUAACAGGGCCACAUUUCGAUGGGGUUUAAGCUGGCCGCCGAUAUUAUCGGCGAUGUCGCGGCAUACCUGGUCUAAUACUGGUAAAAUGUCAUUUGUAAGAUUGAAUUUCCUCUUAUUUAUCCCAUCGGCAUUUAAACGGACCAUUAUUAAGAAUAAACUCCCUGUGUUGUUCGGUCGGGCCAUUUCAGUAUACCGCUUAUAUGAAAUAUGCCUAUACGCGAUUACAUACAUGUAUUAUUACACAGCGUUGCAACCGAGGCAGCAGUCCGUUUUCCUUUAUUUCCUAUGUGUUAUUCUCCGGCAUGUACUGACUUUCGAGGUAUAAUAAACUCUAAAUAAACAGACGAUUGUUCUAUUAGGCACAAAAACUUUAUUCUUUCUGUGAAGAGGUUGACUCUGACCUGUCCUAUUUUUUAUUUUAUUAUGCUC